CACGUAGGGUGCGAGCGUUGUCCGGAAUUAUUGGGCGUAAAGAGCUCGUAGGCGGUGUGUCGCGUCGGCCGUGAAAACCUGCAGCUUAACUGUGGGCUUGCGGUCGAUACGGGCAUCACUGGAGUUCGGCAGGGGAGACUGGAAUUCCUGGUGUAGCGGUGAAAUGCGCAGAUAUCAGGAGGAACACCGGUGGCGAAGGCGGAUCUCUGGGCCUUACCUGACGCUGAGGCGCGAAAGCUAGGGGAGCGAACAGG
rnacentral:rRNA from 1 species